UGAAUAUAAUUGAAAUAAUUUGCAAACUUGAAAGGAUUUUUCCUCCAUCCUUCUUUGACUCCAUGGAACACUUGACGAUACAUCUACCUUACGAGGCAAAAGUUGGUGGACCAGUUCAAUAUCGAUGGAUGUAUCCAUUUGAACGGUAUAUGUUUUAUUUGAAGAAGAAAGUGACCAAUAAAGCUAAAGUUGAGGGUUCCAUAUGUGAAGCAUACUUGAUUGAUGAAAUUACCAAUUUUGCAUCUCAUUAUUUUGGUGAUGACGUGCAAACAAUUUGGAAUCGAGUUCCACGGAAUGAUGAUGGUGGCCUUAGAAGUGUAGAUGGAUGUCUCUCUAUUUUUUCCUAUCCAGGGAAAAAAUUAUCCAAAAGAUUUUAUAAAAGGCAGUUGUCACAUGCUGAAAUGCAAAUUGCGCAUAACUAUGUGAUAUUCAAUUGUCAAGAACUGAAGCCUUAUUUAGAGCAAUGUCGACAAGAGCUAAAGUCACAACAACCAUAUGCGAGUGAUGGUGAAAUUGAAAAAUUAUGCGAAGCGAUCUUUCCAAAUUGGUUAAAAAAUAAUGUAAGUAUUUUAAUAAAAUUAAUUUAUAUUUUAUGUCAAUUAGCUACUUUAAAAAUAUUAUUAAUCUCUUUUAAAUCAUUAUUUCUUAUGGAGUUAACUAUUAUGCUAGGUGGAAUACCAAUCUAACGGAAUUGAAAAUCAGCUCUUUGGACUUGC